AUUGAACGCUGGCGGCAGGCUUAACACAUGCAAGUCGAGCGGAGAGAGGUAGCUUGCUACUGAUCUUAGCGGCGGACGGGUGAGUAAUGCUUAGGAAUCUGCCUAUUAGUGGGGGACAACAUUUCGAAAGGAAUGCUAAUACCGCAUACGUCCUGCGGGAGAAAGCAGGGGAUCCUCGGACCUUGCGCUAAUAGAUGAGCCUAAGUCGGAUUAGCUAGUUGGUGGGGUAAAGGCCUACCAAGGCGACGAUCUGUAGCGGGUCUGAGAGGAUGAUCCGCAACACUGGGACUGAGACACGGCCCAGAUGCCUACGGGAGGCAGGAGUGGGGAAUAUUGGAGAAUGGGCGCAAGCCUGAUCCAGCCAUGCCGCGUGUGAAGAAGGCCUUAUGGUUGUAAAGCACUUUAAGCGAGGAGGAGGCUACUUGAGUUAAUACCUAGAGAUAGUGGACGUUACUCGCAGAAUAAGCACCGGCUAACUCUGUGCCAGCCGCCGCCGUAAGAC
rnacentral:rRNA from 1 species